rnacentral:rRNA from 1 species
AACAGGAUUAGAUACCCUGGUAGUCCACGCCCUAAACGAUGUCUACUAGUUGUCGGAUUUUAAUUAACUUGGUAACGCAGCUAACGCGUGAAGUAGACCGCCUGGGGAGUACGGUCGCAAGAUUAAAACUCAAAGGAAUUGACGGGGACCCGCACAAGCGGUGGAUGAUGUGGAUUAAUUCGAUGCAACGCGAAAAACCUUACCUACCCUUGACAUGGAAGGAAUCCUGGAGAGAUCUGGGAGUGCCCGAAAGGGAACCUUCACACAGGUGCUGCAUGGCUGUCGUCAGCUCGUGUCGUGAGAUGUUGGGUUAAGUCCCGCAACGAGCGCAACCCUUGUCAUUAGUUGCUACGCAAGAGCACUCUAAUGAGACUGCCGGUGACAAACCGGAGGAAGGUGGGGAUGACGUCAAGUCCUCAUGGCCCUUAUGGGUAGGGCUUCACACGUCAUACAAUGGUACAUACAGAGGACCGCCAACCCGCGAGGGGGAGCUAAUCCCAGAAAGUGUAUCGUAGUCCGGAUUGUAGUCUGCAACUCGACUACAUGAAGUUGGAAUCGCUAGUAAUCGCGGAUCAGCAUGUCGCGGUGAAUACGUUCCCGGGUCUUGUACACACCGCCCGUCACACCAUGGGAGCGGGUUUUACCAGAAGUAGGUAGCUUAACCGCAAGGAGGGCGCUUACCACGGUAGGAUUCGUGACCGGGGUGAAGUCGUAACAAGGUAACC